UUGUAUUUUUGAUUAAUAUUUUCCUGACUUCAUAUGAUUGAAUUGAAUUGUUUUCGUUUUAUUGUGAAGUUGUAAAUUUAUUGCAAAUGAAUUUAAAAGAGACCUAAUUAUUACAACGGAAAAGAAGGUUUUCUGAUUAAUUCAAAUAAUUAUCUAAAGAAAAACUGUUCCUAUUUUUAUUUCUUUCUUGUAAGAAAUGUGCGGAGUGCAACUAGAAUGCCCUUUAUGUUGUAAAGAAGUGUUUUCAACUUAUAGUGCUCUUAAAAAUCAUUUAAUUCAAAUAUCGCAACAGUUGAAAUGCGAAAUAUGUGGAUUACAGUUCGAAAAACUUAGGAAUUUUGCUGAUCAUAUUGGAAGUGAAUGUAAAUUGAACUGUAAGUCAGAAAGUUCAGAGUUUUGUGAAUUGCAAGAAGAACUUAACAGUAAAGAAAUAACUUUAGAUCAUGAAGUUUUAUGUGGUGAACCUGAGGUUAGCAAGCAAGACAGUAACUCCAGUGAGAACCUGAAAAGUGAUGAAUUGUACCAUUGUUCUACAUGUGAUAUAAAUUUUACAUCUGUUGAAGAGCAUAUUCAGGAAUAUCAUAAGGGCCAUGAAGUCUUUCUAGAGGCACCCAUUGAAUUAGACAAGCCUUUAGAUAGUGAAAACUAUGCUACAAUUGUUUCUGAAGAGUCAAUUUUGGGUCUUGCUGGACUAGAUGAUGACAUUGAAUCCCAAAUUCAAUGUUCUACUAUUAAAAAAAAUUAUGCAAACGAUAUUAAAGAAGGAGUUUAUGUAGACAAAAAUGGUCGUGCAUAUACCAGAAAGAUGGUAAAGAUUGAAAAAUUUUGGCAUAAGGAAGGAAAAUCAAGAGAACAGCAUUCUCCAAUUGUUGAACAGGUCUGUACAGUUAAUAAAGACAAUGAAGGCAAAAGACAUCUAAAGUAUGUAUAUGUAUAUCAAUGUCCUUCAUGUCCCUUGUACUUUUUUUCUUCAAAGGGCUAUGAUUCUCAUAAAUGUCACAAUGAGAAAUGUCAGUUUUGUGAUUGCUAUUUUUCAAGCACGAAAUCGUUAUGUGCACAUAUGAGAGUUCACAAGGGUGACAACAAGCAAGCAACAGAAAGCACCGAUGUAGAAAUAUCAGGAUCGUUUAUUUGCAAUGUAUGCAAUACAGAAUUUCAAAGCUAUAAGUCACUCAAAUUGCAUUCACGUAUGCAUGAUCCAGUUAAAUUGAAAGAGAUUGAACCUCCUGUGUCGUACGGUGUCAGCGGCGAAACCCAAGAUAUUUCGCAGACUGCUAGAGAAACUUUUGUGUGUAAUGUGUGCAACAACACUUAUGACAAAAAGUAUGAAAAAGUGCACACGCAAUCUCAUAGUCUCGAUGAGAAUUUCAACUGCGAAAUAUGCAAUAAGAAAUUUUACACUCGUGAAAACUUAACGAUGCACGCCAGAGUUCAUGUGGGUGUCAAAAAGUUUUCGUGUUCGUAUUGCAAAAAGCCUUUUCUGACUUAUGAGAGUUUGCAUGAGCAUGUGACGUCCCAGUGCCAGAAGAGGCAGUACGAGUGCCAGUUUUGCGGUCGGAGGUUUGCACGGCCCCACGAAAAAGUUAAACACGAAAGAAUACAUACAGGAGAAAAACCGCACAUUUGUCAAAUUUGCGGAAAAGCUUUCAGAGUUAGCUACUGUCUUACACUUCAUCUGCGGACUCAUUCAGGUACUAGACCAUACCAGUGUCCCCACUGUGGUAAACGUUUCAAGGCCCACAGUGUGUAUAAUCACCAUUUACUGACUCAUUCGGAUGAAAGAAAAUACAAGUGCCCCUAUUGCCCGAAAGCUUUCAAAACUGGGGUACAAUUGGCUGGCCACAAGAACAGUCACACGAAGCCCUUUACGUGUACCGAAUGCAACAGGCCUUUCGCGUCUCUGUACGCAGUACGAAUUCAUAUGGAUACGCAUCAACGUGAAAACAAUCUGAAGCAUAAAUGUUGGGUGUGUGGAGCGUCGUACGCCAGGGCGUUUGCCCUCAAGGACCAUAUAAAGGAGCAACAUCAGGGUGGAGGAGAACUAGCGGAUCUUGGCGAGGAGUUCACCGAACAGGAUGAAGGAAAUGAAGUAGUAGAACAAGAAAUUUUGAUUGAAAUGGAAGAGAGCGGACAGAACGAGGGGCCUUAAUGUAAACUAACAUUGACAAAUACGAUGUAUGAAGAAUGUAGUUGAUGUUAAUUAAAUAAGUGGAUAAAUAAGAGCAAAGCUUUUCAAACAAUAUACUUAUGAAGGAAAACUCCUUAAAGGCCACUUCUAUGAGAAUAUUUUGGGCUGCACGUGCUUAUAAAGAAAUUAGUUGGAACUAUUGAUGUUGUGUUUUAUUGUUGAUAUUCCCGAAUUAUUCAUACCAAUUCGUCAACAACUACACUGGAAAUUUGAAAUUGAUUCCGGGGGUGCACUGUGAACCCUCAUUUUAAAAAUGUCGUUUUUAUUCGUCGAUAAAUUCAUUUCUCCCUUAUUGGAGAAACUGAAUGUGGUAAAAUGUAUUUAGGUUGUUAUGAGGCA